AUAUAUUUCAAUAUUUCAAAAUAAAUUUUAAAAAAAGUGGAAAAAGUGCAGUAAAACUAUUGCAAUUAAGACGUUUUGGAAAACUUAGUGCACUUAGUUUAAUAAAAAAAAAUUAAAACACACCCCACUUUAAACCCAACAAAUCAUGUGUUAAACUAAAAAUAAAUCAAAUAAUUUUCAAAGCAAAUGGAAACCAAAAAGCUGACAAAUGAUACAAUAAUAAGAAUAACUGUGAUAACAUCAUCAAUGAUACUAAUUUCAAUCCAACAACAACAGCAACAAUGGGUUUCAGUGAUGAGAAUAGUAAUAGUUCCUGUAGUACAACAAUAACAAAGUCAGCAGCAGCAAAAACAAUUGCAAGUAGAGAUCAACAAAAUAAUGCAACGACAACGGAUAGAUCACCGCUGAAGAAAGCAGAGAGUUCUGGUUGUGAUUCUUCACUAAUGAGUUGCUGCAGCGAAGACGAAGAAACCGAUAAUGGCGAAGAA